AUUGAACGCUGGCGGCAUGCUUUACACAUGCAAGUCGAACGAGGGGCGCACGGGUGAAUAAUAUAUUGGAACGUCCCGAGUAAUGGGGGAUAACCAAUCGACAGAUUGGCUAAUACCGCAUAUUAUUAGAGCGGCCAAUAUGUGAUUAGCUAGUUGGUGGGGUAAAGGCCUACCAAGGCGACGACCAGUAGCGGGUCUGAGAGGAUGAUCCGCCACACUGGGACUGAGACACGGCCCAGACUCCUACGGGAGGCAGCAGUGGGGAAUGUUGGACAAUGGGCGCAAGCCUGAUGCAGCCAUGCCGCGUGUAUGAAGAAGGCCUUCGGGUUGUAAAGGACUUUCGGCAGGGAAGCGGUACCUAAAGAAGAAGCACCGGCUAACUACGUGCCAGCAGCCGCGGUAAUAC
rnacentral:rRNA from 1 species